AAAGCGAGUCUGAAUAGGGCGAUGAGUCAGUGGCUGUAGACGCGAAACUUUGUGAUCUACCCAUGACCAGGUUGAAGUGUCGGUAACACGACAUGGAGGACCGAACCAGUUGACGUUGAAAAGUCUUUGGAUGAGUUGUGGGUAGGGGUGAAAGGCCAAUCAAACUGAGAGAUAGCUCGUACUCCCCGAAAUGUUUUUAGGAACAGCCUUGGGAUUGAGUUAUACGGAGGUAAAGCUACCGAUAGGACUAGGGGGAGUCAAAUCCUACCAAAUCCUGACGAACUCUGAAUGCCGUAUAAUAUGCCCAGGAGUGAGGGCUGGGGUGCUAAGGUCCCAGUCCGAGAGGGAAAGAACCCAGACCAUCCGCUAAGGCCCCUAAAUCAGGGCUAAGUUGAACAAAGGAGGUCCGACUGCAGAGACAGCCAGGAUGUUAGCUUGGAAGCAGCUAUUCAUUUAAAGAGUGCGUAACAGCUCACUGGUCGAGCGGGGCGGGCAUCGAUAAUAAACGGGCAUCAAGUCUUGUGCCGAAGCGAUGGAAGUAGUAAUACUUGGUAGGGGAGCAUUCUCAACGGCGGUGAAGGUGUGGCGGCAAGCCAUGCUGGAGCGUUGAGAAAAGCAAAUGUAGGGAUAAGUAACGAUAAGGAAGGUGAGAAACCUUCCCGCCGUAAGGAUCAGGAUUCCUCAGCUAUGCUAAUCAACUGAGGGUUAGUCGGGAGCUAAGGAGUUAGCGAAAGCGAAGCUUCGAUGCCCAGCAGGUUAAUAGUCCUGCACUUACACCAGUGCGAUGUAAUGACGGAGCAAAUGGGUCUCUACGUACGGACGGAAGUGUGCGUUGAGCUGAGCCCGCAAGGGCAAGGCGAAGGGAUGAGUUUGCUUCCAAGAAAAGUUACUAAGCUUCAGCUGGCUGUAACCCGUACCGCAAACCGACACAGGUAUCCGGGUAGAACAUACCAAGGCGCUCGAGUGAAUCACGGCUAAGGAACUCGGCAAAUUAACCCUGUAACUUCGGGAUAAGGGGAACCACAGCGAUGUGGUCGCAGAGAAAUGGCCCAGGCGACUGUUUAACAAAAACACAGGGCUUUGCCAAAACGAAAGUUGACGUAUAAGGCCUGACACCUGCCCGGUGCUGGAAGGUUAAGAGGGGAUGUUAGUCGCAAGGCGAAGCAUUGAAUCGAAGCCCCAGUAAACGGCGGCCGUAACUAUAACGGUCCUAAGGUAGCGAAAUUCCUUGUCGGGUAAGUUCCGACCUGCACGAAUGGUGUAACGAUCUGGGCACUGUCUCAGCCGUGAGCUCGGUGAAAUUGUAGUAGCGGUGAAGAUGCCGCUUACCCGCCACGGGACGGAAAGACCCCGUGAACCUUCACUACAGUUUUGCACUGACUUUUGGUAACUGGUGUGUAGGAUAGGUGGGAGGCUGUGAAGCGGUGUCGCUAGGCAUCGCAGAGCCAACGUUGAAAUACCACCCUCCGGUUGCUGGGAGUCUAACAUUAGCUUGGACAAUGCAUG
rfam:Corchorus olitorius cultivar O-4 contig08944, whole genome shotgun sequence.